GUCCUUUUGAGUAUAUUUAAGGUCUGACCUGCCCGGUGAUUUAUUUUAACGGCCGCGGUAUAUUGACCGUGCAAAGGUAGCAUAAUCAUUAGUCUUUUAAAAGAGGGCUGGAAUGAAAGGUUUGACGAGGUAUUGACUGUCUCAUUUUAUUUGGAUUUAGAAUUUAACUUUUUAGUCAAAAGGCUUAAAUUUAAUUGGAAGACGAGAAGACCCUAUAGAGCUUUAUAUUAAUUAUUUUAAUUAUGAAUAUAUAAUUUUUAAUUAGAUGAAUUAUUAUUUUGUUGGGGUGACAGAAAAAUAGAACUAACUUUUUUAUUUAUUUAACAUUAAUUUAUGGUUAUUUGAUCCAUUAUUAUUGAUUAUUAGAUUAAGUUACCUUAGGGAUAACAGCGUAAUCCCCUCCCAGAGUUCAUAUUUACGAGUGGCGCUUGCGACCUCGAUGUUGGAUUAAGAUAAUAAUUAGGUGUAGCCGCUUAAUUUAUAGGUCUGUUCGACCUUUAAAUUCUU
rnacentral:rRNA from 1 species